rnacentral:rRNA from 1 species
UACAGAGGGGGCAAGCGUUGUUCGGAAUUACUGGGCGUAAAGGGCGCGUAGGCGGCCUUCUAAGUCGAACGUGAAAUCCCCGGGCUCAACCCGGGAACUGCGUCCAAUACUGGAAGGCUUGAAUCCGGGAGAGGGAUGCGGAAUUCCAGGUGUAGCGGUGAAAUGCGUAGAUAUCUGGAGGAACACCGGUGGCGAAGGCGGCAUCCUGGACCGGCAUUGACGCUGAGGCGCGAAAGCAUGGGGAGCAAACAGG